GGGAUCAAGCUCUCCUGCCGCCCUCGCAGAAGGUCAAGUCUGGGUGGUCCGGCCGUGCAUUCCGCUCCCUGCGGGCACGCAGCGCCCCCUGCCGUCCCCGGGCCCCUCGUCCCCCCGGGAAGGUGGAGGACUCGGGCUGCGCCAGGGUCGCAAACUCUAGGGCCCCAGGGGUCACCCCGAAACCGUGCCGCCAGCCAAGGUCCCCCCGCCCUCCGGGCAAGAAACCCACAGCCGAUGGCGCUUGGCUCGAGGGCCACGAAGCAUUUUUGCGAACAUCGCAGUCCAAUUUUAUCCUCUAAUGAGAACUGCCGUCGCCUGACACCGAGCCCACACCCAGAGUCAGCUGGUGUCUGGCUCGCUAUUUUUAAAAGGAAAUCCGUUGUAGGCACUGCAUUAGAGAGAGGAAAUCCUGCCCAGACUUGGAACAGUUCUGACAUGAAAAUGUAGACCUGUCUCCCCGGGCCCUCGUUUGCCCCUCUGUAAAAUGGGUCUCUGGCCAGCGCUGGCGUUCGUGAAGCAGCUGCCAGAGGGACUGGCCGUAGCGACGGCCUUAGGAAAUGGGGCGACCGUCAUAUGGCACCUGUUUGCUUCGCGUCACGAAAGGAUGCCCACGGGCCUGCUCGAGUGCAUCUAAAGAUACUGCGCAAUGACCUCGACCUCCAGGAGCUGGCGUCUAGAACAAUCUGAAAACCAGCCUGACCUAAAGGCGGGAAACCUGCAUCAAUUCGAGAUUCCUGAUUAAAGGAAGCGUUGAUGGAGCUCCUGGUGUAUGGCUGCUCCCAGGUGGUGCUGAUGCUGCUAGUUCCAGACCACACGGAGAACCACUCUUCUAAAGAGCGCCGUAUUCUAAAGCCGCAUUCUACGUGUGACUUCAGUUCACUCAUAUGCGAAAGAUAAACACACAGAUACGGAGAACAGAUUGGUGGUUACCAGAGGGGAAGCGGGUGGGGGGAGGGCCAAGGGGUAAAUGGGUGCAGAUGUACGGUGACGGAUGGAAACUAGACUUCUGGUGGUGAACACGAAGCAGUCUAUACAGAAGUGGAAAUAGGAUGACGUACAACUGAAAUUUAUAUAAUGUUUUAAACCAAUGUGACCUCAAUAAAAAAAAAAUUUUUAAGCCACAUUCUAAACCCAGGAGCAUGUGCGUAUGCAUGCAUACAAAUACGUAAGUGACACAUAAAACUAGUGCACACCAGUGCCCCUGCCGCUUCAACCUGGGGGUCACGUUAAAACACAGGUUCUGACUCUAGGUCCAGGGUGGAGCCUGAGACUCUGCAUUUCUAACUUUCCUCUUGGCAAUGGGAAUGCGGCUUGUCCCCGCC
rnacentral:lncRNA from 1 species